CACUUCCUACGGGGCGCAGCAGUGGGGAAUAUUGCACAAUGGGGGAAACCCUGAUGCAGCGACGCCGCGUGAGCGAAGAAGUAUUUCGGUAUGUAAAGCUCUAUCAGCAGGGAAGAAAAUGACGGUACCUGACUAAGAAGCCCCGGCUAAAUACGUGCCAGCAGCCGCGGUAAUACGUAUGGGGCAAGCGUUAUCCGGAUUUAUUGGGCGUAAAGCGAGUGCAGGCGGGUCAAUAAGUCUUGU
rnacentral:rRNA from 1 species